rnacentral:rRNA from 1 species
AUUGAACGCUGGCGGCAUGCCUUACACAUGCAAGUCGAACGGUAACAGGUCUUCGGAUGCUGACGAGUGGCGAACGGGUGAGUAAUACAUCGGAACGUGCCCGAUCGUGGGGGAUAACGAAGCGAAAGCUUUGCUAAUACCGCAUAAGAUCCAAGGAUGAAAGCAGGGGACCGCAAGGCCUUGUGCGAACGGAGCGGCCGAUGGCAGAUUAGGUAGUCGGUGGGAUAAAAGCUUCCCAAGCCGACGAUCUGUAGCUGGUCUGAGAGGGCGACCAGCCACACUGGGACUGAGACACGGCCCAGACUCCUACGGGAGGCAGCAGUGGGGAAUUUUGGACAAUGGGCGAAAGCCUGAUCCAGCCAUGCCGCGUGCGGGAUGAAGGCCUUCGGGUUGUAAACUGCUUUUGUACGGAACGAAAAGACUCUGGUUAAUACCUGGGGUCCAUGACGGUACCGUAAGAAUAAGCACCGGCUAACUACGUGCCAGCCGCCGCGGUAA